GAUGAACGCUCGCUACAGGCUUAACACAUGCAAGUCGAGGGGAAACGACAUCGAAAGCCUGCUUUUGAUGGGCGUCGACCGGCGCACGGGUGAGUAACGCGUAUCCAACCUGCCCAUCACUUGGGAAUAACCUUGCGAAAGUAAGACUAAUACCCAAUGAUAUCCCACGAAGGCAUCGGAAUGGGAUUAAAGAUUUAUCGGUGAUGGAUGGGGAUGCGUCUGAUUAGCUUGUUGGCGGGGUAACGGCCCACCAAGGCAACGAUCAGUAGGGGUUCUGAGAGGAAGGUCCCCCACAUUGGAACUGAGACACGGUCCAAACUCCUACGGGAGGCAGCAGUGAGGAAUAUUGGUCAAUGGGCGAGAGCCUGAACCAGCCAAGUAGCGUGCAGGAAGACGGCCCUAUGGGUGGUAAACUGCUUUUAUAAGGGAAUAAAGUGGGUCACGUGUGACUUUUUGCAUGUACCUUAUGAAUAAGGACCGGCUAAUUCCGUG
rnacentral:rRNA from 1 species